rnacentral:rRNA from 1 species
UACAGAGAGUGCAAGCGUUAAUCGGAAUUAUUGGGCGUAAAGCGCAUGUAGGCGGAUGCCUAAGUCGGACGUGAAAGCCCCGGGCUUAACCUGGGAAUUGCGUUCGAUACUGGGCGUCUUUGAAUAUGGUAGAGGGAAGUGGAAUUUCUGGUGUAGCGGUGAAAUGCGUAGAUAUCAGAAAGAACAUCAGUGGCGAAGGCGGCUUCCUGGACCAAUAUUGACGCUAAAGUGCGAAAGCGUGGGGAGCAAACAGG